rnacentral:rRNA from 1 species
CGCUGGCGGCGUGCCUAAUACAUGCAAGUAGAACGCUGAAGAGAGGAGCUUGCUCUUCUUGGAUGAGUUGCGAACGGGUGAGUAACGCGUAGGUAACCUGCCUUGUAGCGGGGGAUAACUAUUGGAAACGAUAGCUAAUACCGCAUAACAAUGGAUGACACAUGUCAUUUAUUUGAAAGGGGCAAUUGCUCCACUACAAGAUGGACCUGCGUUGUAUUAGCUAGUAGGUGAGGUAAUGGCUCACCUAGGCGACGAUACAUAGCCGACCUGAGAGGGUGAUCGGCCACACUGGGACUGAGACACGGCCCAGACUCCUACGGGAGGCAGCAGUAGGGAAUCUUCGGCAAUGGGGGCAACCCUGACCGAGCAACGCCGCGUGAGUGAAGAAGGUUUUCGGAUCGUAAAGCUCUGUUGUAAGUCAAGAACGGGUGUGAGAGUGGAAAGUUCACACUGUGACGGUAGCUUACCAGAAAGGGACGGCUAACUACGUGCCAGCAGCCGCGGUAAUACGUAGGUCCCGAGCGUUGUCCGGAUUUAUUGGGCGUAAAGCGAGCGCAGGCGGUUUGAUAAGUCUGAAGUUAAAGGCUGUGGCUCAACCAUAGUUCGCUUUGGAAACUGUCAAACUUGAGUGCAGAAGGGGAGAGUGGAAUUCCAUGUGUAGCGGUGAAAUGCGUAGAUAUAUGGAGGAACACCGGUGGCGAAAGCGGCUCUCUGGUCUGUAACUGACGCUGAGGCUCGAAAGCGUGGGGAGCGAACAGGAUUAGAUACCCUGGUAGUCCACGCCGUAAACGAUGAGUGCUAGGUGUUGGAUCCUUUCCGGGAUUCAGUGCCGCAGCUAACGCAUUAAGCACUCCGCCUGGGGAGUACGACCGCAAGGUUGAAACUCAAAGGAAUUGACGGGGGCCCGCACAAGCGGUGGAGCAUGUGGUUUAAUUCGAAGCAACGCGAAGAACCUUACCAGGUCUUGACAUCCCGAUGCUAUUUCUAGAGAUAGAAAGUUACUUCGGUACAUCGGUGACAGGUGGUGCAUGGUUGUCGUCAGCUCGUGUCGUGAGAUGUUGGGUUAAGUCCCGCAACGAGCGCAACCCCUAUUGUUAGUUGCCAUCAUUCAGUUGGGCACUCUAGCGAGACUGCCGGUAAUAAACCGGAGGAAGGUGGGGAUGACGUCAAAUCAUCAUGCCCCUUAUGACCUGGGCUACACACGUGCUACAAUGGUUGGUACAACGAGUUGCGAGUCGGUGACGGCGAGCUAAUCUCUUAAAGCCAAUCUCAGUUCGGAUUGUAGGCUGCAACUCGCCUACAUGAAGUCGGAAUCGCUAGUAAUCGCGGAUCAGCACGCCGCGGUGAAUACGUUCCCGGGCCUUGUACACACCGCCCGUCACACCACGAGAGUUUGUAACACCCGAAGUCGGUGAGGUAACCUUUUGGAGCCAGCCGCCUAAGGUGGGACAGAUGAUUGGGGUGAA